rnacentral:snRNA from 1 species
GGAUAUGAGGGCAAUCUGGCUGUGACAUCUUGAUUCAUCUGAUCUGGCUAGCUAGCAAGUAUUCCCUUCCUCCCUCAUCACUCUAUGUGCAUCCCUACCCAGGCUGAGCACUCCUUGGUCAAGAGGACAACCUUCCCCGAUAGAGGAAGAUCAUUCUUCAGUCAAGAGUAGCUCCUUUCCCCUGCUAGAACGUCCAAACAAGCUCUCAAGAGAUGCUGGGCAGCCUCCAAACAUGACAAACAUCUACUGAAGGACUUGGCUCUGAAACACUAAUGUACACACACUUUUUCUGU